AUUGAACGCUGGCGGCAUGCCUUACACAUGCAAGUCGAACGGCAGCACGGGUGCUUGCACCUGGUGGCGAGUGGCGAACGGGUGAGUAAUACAUCGGAACAUGUCCUGUAGUGGGGGAUAGCCCGGCGAAAGCCGGAUUAAUACCGCAUACGAUCCACGGAUGAAAGCGGGGGACCUUCGGGCCUCGCGCUAUAGGGUUGGCCGAUGGCUGAUUAGCUAGUUGGUGGGGUAAAGGCCUACCAAGGCGACGAUCAGUAGCUGGUCUGAGAGGACGACCAGCCACACUGGGACUGAGACACGGCCCAGACUCCUACGGGAGGCAGCAGUGGGGAAUUUUGGACAAUGGGCGAAAGCCUUAUCCAGCAAUGCCGCGUGUGUGAAGAAGGCCUUCGGGUUGUAAAGCACUCUUGUCCGGAAAGAAAUCCUUGGCUCUAAUACAGUCGGGGGAUGACGGUACCGGAAGAAUAAGCACCGGCUAACUACGUG
rnacentral:rRNA from 1 species